rnacentral:rRNA from 1 species
UAUUUAAGGUGAUGCCUGCCCAGUGCUUAUAAGUAAAUGGCCGCAGUACCUUGACUGUGCUAAGGUAGCAUAAUCAGUUGGCUUUUAAAUGGAGUCGGGAAUGAAUGGAUUAAUAGGGUGUAGCUGUCUCUUUUGUAUUAUAUUGAAUUUACUUAUUAGGUGAAAAUUCCUAAAUUAAGAAAAAAGACGAGAAGACCCUAGGAGUUUUCACUAAUGGUUAAGGUAAUUAACUGUUGUUUUUGUUGGGGCGACAAGGGAGCAAUUUGAAACCUCCUUUAAUAAUUUGCCGACGGUGUAUGAGAAGCUAAACUACCCUAGGGAUAACAGCGUAAUUCUUUUAGAGCUUGCGACCUCGAUGUUGGACUAGGAAUUUGAUGGGCUAGCCGCCUAUUUAUAUUGUUCUG